rnacentral:rRNA from 1 species
UACGGAGGAUCCGAGCGUUAUCCGGAUUUAUUGGGUUUAAAGGGUGCGUAGGCGGUUUGAUAAGUUAGAGGUGAAAUGUCGGGGCUCAACCCCGAAACUGCCCCUAAUACUGUUGGACUAGAGAAUAGUUGCGGUAGGCGGAAUGUAUGGUGUAGCGGUGAAAUGCUUAGAGAUCAUACAGAACACCGAUUGCGAAGGCAGCUUACCAAACUAUAUCUGACGUUGAGGCACGAAAGCGUGGGUAGCAAACAGG